UACGGGGGGAGCAAGCGUUGUUCGGAUUUACUGGGCGUAAAGGGCGCGUAGGCGGUCAGCACAAGUCAGUUGUGAAAUCUCCGGGCUUUAACUCGGAAAGGUCAACUGAUACUGUGCGACUAGAGUGCGGAAGGGGCAACUGGAAUUCUCGGUGUAGCGGUGAAAUGCGUAGAUAUCGAGAGGAACACCUGCGGCGAAGGCGGGUUGCUGGGCCGACACUGACGCUGAUGCGCGAAAAGCCAGGGGGAGCGAACGGGG
rnacentral:rRNA from 1 species